CUUCGGCAAAAUCGCUGUCUUUAUCAAGUUGCAAGCGGUCUUGAUAUUCAGAUAAUAAUUGUUCCAGCUGCUUAAUUCUACUACCACAAUCAUCCAUAUCGUUAGCAAAUUACUCAAAUGUACAUCGCGAUUUUCGACAUUAUAAACUAUAAACCUCCAUUGAACUACAAUGUACUACACAUUUUCUUCGCUGAUAAUUUCCUUUGAUAAUUUCACGGCCACCAUUUUGAUU